rnacentral:lncRNA from 1 species
AAAUCUCCACAUUUACUCGUAUUUUCUCAUACCUCCUUUUCCAAGCCCAUCACGGGCCUAUCUAAACCUUUGCAGGAUACUCAUCAAGUCCAAACCAGCAUUUGAACUUGAAAACUUAAAUACUCUUAAUAGCGGAUCCAUUGCUUAAUAUGAAAGAGUCAAAUUUAUUAGACUAGCAUCCAGUCAACUCUGACUCCAUAAUUGUCGAGGAAAUUGUUGCUACACCAGUCAUAGUUGAACCUUGAAGAACAUAGAGACUGUCAAUCUUUCGACCU